rnacentral:rRNA from 1 species
GACUAUACUUCAGAGUUUGAUCCUGGCUCAGGACGAACGCUGGCGGCGUGCCUAAUACAUGCAAGUAGAACGCUGAGGACUGGUGCUUGCACCGGUUCAAGGAGUUGCGAACGGGUGAGUAACGCGUAGGUAACCUACCUCAUAGCGGGGGAUAACUAUUGGAAACGAUAGCUAAUACCGCAUGACAAUGGAGGACCCAUGUCUUUCAUUUAAAAGGUGCAACUGCAUCACUAUGAGAUGGACCUGCGUUGUAUUAGCUAGUUGGUGAGGUAACGGCUCACCAAGGCGACGAUACAUAGCCGACCUGAGAGGGUGAACGGCCACACUGGGACUGAGACACGGCCCAG